rnacentral:rRNA from 1 species
CGGCAGCACGGGAGCAAUCCUGGUGGCGAGUGGCGAACGGGUGAGUAAUAUAUCGGAACGUGCCCAGUCGUGGGGGAUAACGCAGCGAAAGCUGUGCUAAUACCGCAUACGAUCUCUGGAUGAAAGCGGGGGACUCGCAAGAGCCUCGCGCGAUUGGAGCGGCCGAUAUCAGAUUAGCUAGUUGGUGGGGUAAAAGCCUACCAAGGCGACGAUCUGUAGCUGGUCUGAGAGGACGACCAGCCACACUGGAACUGAGACACGGUCCAGACUCCUACGGGAGGCAGCAGUGGGGAAUUUUGGACAAUGGGCGAAAGCCUGAUCCAGCAGUGCCGCGUGCAGGAUGAAGGCCUUCGGGUUGUAAACUGCUUUUGUACGGAACGAAACGGUUCGCCUUAAUACGGUGGGCUAAUGACGGUACCGUAAGAAUAAGCACCGGCUAACUACGUGCCAGCAGCCGCGGUAAUACGUAGGGUGCGAGCGUUAAUCGGAAUUACUGGGCGUAAAGCGUGCGCAGGCGGUUAUAUAAGACAGAUGUGAAAUCCCCGGGCUCAACCUGGGACCUGCAUUUGUGACUGUAUAGCUAGAGUACGGUAGAGGGGGAUGGAAUUCC